rnacentral:rRNA from 1 species
GUGGCAGCCGCCGCGGUAAAACCAGCACCUCAAGUGGUCAGGAUGAUUAUUGGGCCUAAAGCAUCCGUAGCCUGCUUUGUAAGUUUUCGGUUAAAUCCAUGUGCUCAACGCAUGGGCUGCCGAAAAUACUGCAUAGCUAGGGAGUGGGAGAGGUAGACGGUACUCAGUAGGUAGGGGUAAAAUCCUUUGAUCUAUUGAUGACCACCUGUGGCGAAGGCGGUCUACCAGAACACGUUCGACGGUGAGGGAUGAAAGCUGGGGGAGCAAACCGGAUUAGAUACCCGGGUAGUCCCAGCUGUAAACGAUGCAGACUCGAUGAUGCAUUGGCAUAAUAGCCAUUGCAGUGUCGCAGGGAAGCCGUUAAGUCUGCCGCCUGGGAAGUACGUACGCAAGUAUGAAACUUAAAGGAAUUGGCGGGGGAGCACCACAAGGGGUGAAGCCUGCGGUUCAAUUGGAGUCAACGCCAGAAAUCUUACCCGGAGAGACAGCAGAAUGAAGGUCAAGCUGAAGACUUUACCAGACAAGCUGAGAGGUGGUGCAUGGCCGUCGCCAGCUCGUGCCGUGAAAUGUCCUGUUAAGUCAGGUAACGAGCGAGAUCCCUGCCGCUAGUUGCUAUCAUUAUUCUCAGGAAUAGUGGAGCGAAUUAGUGGGACUGCCGUUGUUAAAACGGAGGAAGGAAGGGGCUACGGCAGGUCAGUAUGCCCCGAAACUCUGGGGCCACACGCGGGCUGCAAUGGUAGUGACAAUGAGUUCCAAACUCGAAAGAGAGUGGCAAUCUCUAAACGCUACCACAGUUAUGACUGAGGGCUGUAACUCGCCCUCACGAAUAUGGAAUCCCUAGUAACCGCGUGUCAUUACCGCGCGGUGAAUACGUCCCUGCUCCUUGCACACACCGCCCGUC